AUUGAACGCUGGCGGCAGGCUUAACACAUGCAAGUCGAGCGGGGUGAUGGUGCUUGCACUAUCACUUAGCGGCGGACGGGUGAGUAAUGCUUAGGAAUCUGCCUAUUAGUGGGGGACAACAUUUCGAAAGGAAUGCUAAUACCGCAUACGUCCUACGGGAGAAAGCAGGGGAUCUUCGGACCUUGCGCUAAUAGAUGAGCCUAAGUCGGAUUAGCUAGUUGGUGGGGUAAAGGCCUACCAAGGCGACGAUCUGUAGCGGGUCUGAGAGGAUGAUCCGCCACACUGGGACUGAGACACGGCCCAGACUCCUACGGGAGGCAGCAGUGGGGAAUAUUGGACAAUGGGCGGAAGCCUGAUCCAGCCAUGCCGCGUGUGUGAAGAAGGCCUUUUGGUUGUAAAGCACUUUAAGCGAGGAGGAGGCUACCUGGAUUAAUACUCUAGGAUAGUGGACGUUACUCGCAGAAUAAGCACCGGCUAACUCUGUGCCAGCAGCCGCCGUAACAC
rnacentral:rRNA from 1 species